AUGGAUUCCAGAACAGCAUUCUGCGGCGCUCUGCUACUGCUGGUGACGCUGCUGCCUCUUUCAGCCAGCGCGCCGAGCAAACUCUACAUUGUGUAUAUGGGGGAGAAGAAACAUGAUGACCCGUCCGUGGUCAUCGCGUCGCACCAUGACAUGCUAAUAUCUGUUUUUGGGAGUUACAAGCAUGGAUUUUCUGGGUUCGCGGCUAUGCUAACAAAAUCUCAAGCUGUGGCAAUCGCAAAAUUUCCUGAAGUUGUCUCUGUGAACACUAAUAUUUUUCACAAAACGCACACAACUCGGAGCUGGGAUUUCCUUGGCCUUGACUAUAAUCAACCGCCACAACAACCGGGGCUCCUCAAAAGAGCAAAGUAUGGUGAAGAUGUCAUUGUGGGUGUGAUCGAUACAGGCAUAUGGCCUGAAUCACGAAGCUUUGAUGACAACGGCUAUGGCCCCGUGCCGGCACGGUGGAAAGGAAAAUGCCAGAGUGGCGAGAAGUUCAACGCCACUAGUUGCAACAGAAAGAUCAUCGGUGCGCGGUGGUAUGGCCGUGGCAUCAGUGCCGAGUCAUUAAAGAUCGACUACAAGUCACCUAGGGACCUCAAUGGCCAUGGCACACACGUCGCCUCAACUAUCGCCAGUGGGGAAGUGCAGGGCGUCAGCUAUGGAGGCCUAGGCAUGGGUGUGGCACGUGACGGAGCACCACGUGCACGACUUGGUAUCUACAAGGUGUGCUGGCUGGAUGAGGGUUGCCCUGACACGGCGGUCCUUGCUGCCAUUGAUGACGCUAUACAUGAUGGGGUUGACGUCUUGUCGCUCUCUGUUGGAGGGGUUGGUCAGGAGUACUCUGGGACGUUGCAUGCUGUGCAAAGAGGGAUCUCUGUCGUGUUCACCGGAGGGAAUGAUGGCCCUGUGCCACAGACGGUGACGAAUGCCGUGCCAUGGGUUAAGACCGGUGGCCGCUAG
rnacentral:rRNA from 1 species